rnacentral:rRNA from 1 species
GGGUUGUGAGGUUAAGCGACUAAGCGUACACGGUGGAUGCCCUGGCAGUCAGAGGCGAUGAAGGACGUGCUAAUCUGCGAUAAGCGUCGGUAAGGUGAUAUGAACCGUUAUAACCGGCGAUUUCCGAAUGGGGAAACCCAGUGUGAUUCGUCACACUAUCAUUAACUGAAUCCAUAGGUUAAUGAGGCGAACCGGGGGAACUGAAACAUCUAAGUACCCCGAGGAAAAGAAAUCAACCGAGAUUCCCCCAGUAGCGGCGAGCGAACGGGGAGCAGCCCAGAGCCUGAAUCAGUGUGUGUGUUAGUGGAAGCGUCUGGAAAGACGCGCGAUACAGGGUGACAGCCCCGUACACAAAAAUGCACAUGCUGUGAGCUCGAUGAGUAGGGCGGGACACGUGGUAUCCUGUCUGAAUAUGGGGGGACCAUCCUCCAAGGCUAAAUACUCCUGACUGACCGAUAGUGAACCAGUACCGUGAGGGAAAGGCGAAAAGAACCCCGGCGAGGGGAGUGAAAAAGAACCUGAAACCGUGUACGUACAAGCAGUGGGAGCACGCUUAGGCGUGUGACUGCGUACCUUUUGUAUAAUGGGUCAGCGACUUAUAUUCUGUAGCAAGGUUAACCGAAUAGGGGAGCCGAAGGGAAACCGAGUCUUAACUGGGCGUUAAGUUGCAGGGUAUAGACCCGAAACCCGGUGAUCUAGCCAUGGGCAGGUUGAAGGUUGGGUAACACUAACUGGAGGACCGAACCGACUAAUGUUGAAAAAUUAGCGGAUGACUUGUGGCUGGGGGUGAAAGGCCAAUCAAACCGGGAGAUAGCUGGUUCUCCCCGAAAGCUAUUUAGGUAGCGCCUCGUGAAUUCAUCUCCGGGGGUAGAGCACUGUUUCGGCAAGGGGGUCAUCCCGACUUACCAACCCGAUGCAAACUGCGAAUACCGGAGAAUGUUAUCACGGGAGACACACGGCGGGUGCUAACGUCCGUCGUGAAGAGGGAAACAACCCAGACCGCCAGCUAAGGUCCCAAAGUCAUGGUUAAGUGGGAAACGAUGUGGGAAGGCCCAGACAGCCAGGAUGUUGGCUUAGAAGCAGCCAUCAUUUAAAGAAAGCGUAAUAGCUCACUGGUCGAGUCGGCCUGCGCGGAAGAUGUAACGGGGCUAAACCAUGCACCGAAGCUGCGGCAGCGACACUAUGUGUUGUUGGGUAGGGGAGCGUUCUGUAAGCCUGUGAAGGUGUACUGUGAGGUAUGCUGGAGGUAUCAGAAGUGCGAAUGCUGACAUAAGUAACGAUAAAGCGGGUGAAAAGCCCGCUCGCCGGAAGACCAAGGGUUCCUGUCCAACGUUAAUCGGGGCAGGGUGAGUCGACCCCUAAGGCGAGGCCGAAAGGCGUAGUCGAUGGGAAACAGGUUAAUAUUCCUGUACUUGGUGUUACUGCGAAGGGGGGACGGAGAAGGCUAUGUUGGCCGGGCGACGGUUGUCCCGGUUUAAGCGUGUAGGCUGGUUUUCCAGGCAAAUCCGGAAAACUAAGGCUGAGGCGUGAUGACGAGGCACUACGGUGCUGAAGCAACAAAUGCCCUGCUUCCAGGAAAAGCCUCUAAGCAUCAGGUAACAUCAAAUCGUACCCCAAACCGACACAGGUGGUCAGGUAGAGAAUACCAAGGCGCUUGAGAGAACUCGGGUGAAGGAACUAGGCAAAAUGGUGCCGUAACUUCGGGAGAAGGCACGCUGAUAUGUAGGUGAAGUCCCUCGCGGAUGGAGCUGAAAUCAGUCGAAGAUACCAGCUGGCUGCAACUGUUUAUUAAAAACACAGCACUGUGCAAACACGAAAGUGGACGUAUACGGUGUGACGCCUGCCCGGUGCCGGAAGGUUAAUUGAUGGGGUUAGCGCAAGCGAAGCUCUUGAUCGAAGCCCCGGUAAACGGCGGCCGUAACUAUAACGGUCCUAAGGUAGCGAAAUUCCUUGUCGGGUAAGUUCCGACCUGCACGAAUGGCGUAAUGAUGGCCAGGCUGUCUCCACCCGAGACUCAGUGAAAUUGAACUCGCUGUGAAGAUGCAGUGUACCCGCGGCAAGACGGAAAGACCCCGUGAACCUUUACUAUAGCUUGACACUGAACAUUGAGCCUUGAUGUGUAGGAUAGGUGGGAGGCUUGGAAGUGUGGACGCCAGUCUGCAUGGAGCCGACCUUGAAAUACCACCCUUUAAUGUUUGAUGUUCUAACGUUGACCCGUAAUCCGGGUUGCGGACAGUGUCUGGUGGGUAGUUUGACUGGGGCGGUCUCCUCCUAAAGAGUAACGGAGGAGCACGAAGGUUGGCUAAUCCUGGUCGGACAUCAGGAGGUUAGUGCAAUGGCAUAAGCCAGCUUGACUGCGAGCGUGACGGCGCGAGCAGGUGCGAAAGCAGGUCAUAGUGAUCCGGUGGUUCUGAAUGGAAGGGCCAUCGCUCAACGGAUAAAAGGUACUCCGGGGAUAACAGGCUGAUACCGCCCAAGAGUUCAUAUCGACGGCGGUGUUUGGCACCUCGAUGUCGGCUCAUCACAUCCUGGGGCUGAAGUAGGUCCCAAGGGUAUGGCUGUUCGCCAUUUAAAGUGGUACGCGAGCUGGGUUUAGAACGUCGUGAGACAGUUCGGUCCCUAUCUGCCGUGGGCGCUGGAGAACUGAGGGGGGCUGCUCCUAGUACGAGAGGACCGGAGUGGACGCAUCACUGGUGUUCGGGUUGUCAUGCCAAUGGCACUGCCCGGUAGCUAAAUGCGGAAGAGAUAAGUGCUGAAAGCAUCUAAGCACGAAACUUGCCCCGAGAUGAGUUCUCCCUGACUCCUUGAGAGUCCUGAAGGAACGUUGAAGACGACGACGUUGAUAGGCCGGGUGUGUAAGCGCAGCGAUGCGUUGAGCUAACCGGUACUAAUGAACCGUGAGGCUUAACCUUACAACGCCGAAGGUGUUU